ACGUGAGGAAUGGGCAGGUAGGUUAGUACUCACCUGUCUUGGGGCUGAACCAGGGAGUCUCUGACGUGAGGAAUGGGCAGGUAGUAGGUUAGUACUCACCUGUCCUGGGGUUGAACCAGGGAGUCUCUGACGUGAGGGAUGGGCAGGUAGGAGGUUAGUACUCACCUGUCCUGGGGUUGAACCAGGGAGUCUCUGACGUGAGGGAUGGGCAGGUAGGAGGUUAGUACUCACCUGUCCUGGGGUUGGACCAGGGAGUCUCUGACGUGAGGGAUGGGCAGGUAGGGCUGGAGGUCAUUGUUUUCCUGACACGAUGCGUUGUGGAUCCUCAGAACACCGAUGAUUCUCUCCACCAUGUCAUACAUCUGCCUGGUCUCCUCUUCCUCUCUCCUCCAACGAUACUUCAUAUAGUAGAAUACACCCCACACCAG